CUCAUCAGAAAACGUUCAGUGGCAACGUUGGUCCACUUGGAACGACGUUACCAUCUCACAAUCUGGCCUCUCAGAGUGUGAGAUGGUAACAUUUUGUCAGCCCAUUGUUUUGCAUUGGCGUGUUCUCACGUCACGUGACUCACAAGCUCCCGUCUGCGGAGAGGAAAACAUGGCGGAUAUUCCUUGUUCUCUCAGAUAAAAAUAUAGUUUUGUAACUUAGUUUGGGCAUAAAAAUACAUUCUGACACCAUUUCUAGCGAGAAAUGUGCUCUUUGCUUCCACAGUCUUCAGCCAGUUCGUGCUUAUGAUAAAUAUUUUAAUAGUUAUCGCGAAUGUUUUUAUCGUUGCUAUGAGGGUUGCUAUGACGCUGCCAUGCCAGCACGGCGCAGCGUGCUGUUAAAAUCACCGUCCCUGCGUGGUGUCCCUCAGUGAUCGUGAAUGUUAUUCACGUUAUAUAAUAUUAAUAUUUGAGGCUAGAUUACACCUCUAAUGCGAAGGAUCCUGCGAGACCGUUCAUCCCGAAGGGGGACCGACUGCGCCACGGACGGACCAGGCGAGCGGAACUGACGUGUGGCUUUUAGUAAACAUCCGGUUCUUUAACUCGGGGCUGCGUAGUAACCACCGAGCGCUGGGAAGACAAACGAUGUCAUCUUCCUUCUGUCAGGACGAUCCAAGUGAAGGUACAGGAGUUUCAUUAACGUCAAUAACUUGGACCGAACACUUUGUUUUGCUUGAUGAAGAGCAGGAAGGGCAGCCUGGAGAGAAAGAGAAGCCGGGUUGAGCCCACUACCAUCAUCCACGUACCACGAGGAAGAUGCGGGAGAGAAAUGAUCCUACCAUUAAAGAGACUGUGAAAAGAGCGUUGCGAACAUCACCAAUCUACAGGAAGACACAGUCCAGUAAUGGGUGUCAGAAGUUCAGUAGUGAAUGACAGGAAGGACUGAUGCAUGUACUGAGACGGGACGUGAGGGCCUACUCUUCGUGCUCAGAGUUCAAGCCCAGCAGGGUGCAGCGGGCCUGACAUAUUCCGGAACAGCAGCACAGUCUUUGGAUGACUCCUCUGAAGAUGAAAACAUGGCGAGUUCUUCUCAAGAGAAGCAGUACAGGUGUGCCUCAGCUCCACGGUCCCUCCUGCAGCCUCCGCUCCUGAUGCUAACCUCAUGUCUCCAUCACACCAAGCAGCAGACCUGGAGUGACAGACCUUUCUCCAGAGCUGCUCCCUCCCUCUGAAACCCCCCUCUCCAAAACACUAUUUGUGGCGUUUUUAAAGUCUUAUUUGCAUGAGAAUUGUUGAUCAUAACAUUUCCAGCAGAUGCCUUAAUGUAAUGUUUUUGAACAAUAAAUGACAUUUAUCAUAA